CUCAGUCCUGGAGGCUGAAGUCUUCUAUUUAUCCACAGAAAAGUUAAAGCACAGGCAUCAUCAAAUGCUUAAAUGCCACAUUCUGCACCAGUGUGCCUCAAACCUAGAGGGAAUUUGUGGUAGUUCAACCUCCAUGCCCCUUAAUCCUUGGCCUCU
rnacentral:sRNA from 1 species